GAUACUGGCUCAGGAUGAACGCUGGCGGCGUGCUUAACACAUGCAAGUCGAACGGAGUUAGAUGAAACCUAGUGAUUCUAAACUUAGUGGCGGACGGGUGAGUAACGCGUGGGUAACCUGCCCUAUACAGGGGGAUAACAGUUGGAAACGACUGCUAACACCGCAUAACAUCGCGAGAGCGCAUGAUCUUGCGAUCAAAUAUUUAUAGGUAUAGGAUGGGCCCGCGUCUGAUUAGCUGGUUGGUGAGGUAACGGCCCACCAAGGCGACGAUCAGUAGCCGUACUGAGAGGUAGAACGGCCACAUUGGGACUGAGACACGGCCCAAACUCCUACGGGAGGCAGCAGUGGGGAAUAUUGGUCAAUGGGGGAAACCCUGAACCAGCGACGCCCGCGUGAGUGAAGAAGUAUUUCGGUAUGUAAAGCUCUAUCAGCAGGGACGAUGAUGACGGUACCUGACUAAGAAGCCCCGGCUAACUACGUGCCAGCAGCAGC
rnacentral:rRNA from 1 species